CCCUUAGAUGUCCGGGGCCGCACGCGCGCUACACUGAAGGAAUCAGCGUGGCUUUCUCCCUGACCCGAAAGGGUUGGGAAACCCGUUGAAUCUCCUUCGUGAUAGGGAUUGGGGCUUGAAAUUGUUCCCCAUGAACGAGGAAUUCCCAGUAAGCGCGAGUCAUAAGCUCGCGUUGAUUACGUCCCUGCCCUUUGUACACACCGCCCGUCGCUACUACCGAUUGAACGGUUUAGUGAGGGCCUCGGAUUGGUCUCGGCCCGCUCUUUACCGGGCGGCGCCGUUGGUCGAGAAGACGCUCGAACUUGAUCGUUUAGAGGAAGUGAAAGUCGUAACA
rnacentral:rRNA from 1 species